CCUACGGGAGGCAGCAGUAGGGAAUUUUCCGCAAUGGGCGAAAGCCUGACGGAGCAAUACCGCGUGAGGGAUGACGGCCUGUGGGUUGUAAACCUCUUUUCUCAAGGAAGAAGUUCUGACGGUACUUGAGGAAUAAGCAUCGGCUAACUCUGUGCCAGCAGCCGCGGUAAUACAGAGGAUGCAAGCGUUAUCCGGAAUCACUGGGCAUAAAGCGUCUGUAGGUUGUUUAGUAAGUCUGCUGUUAAAGACUGGGGCUUAACCCCAGAAAAGCAGUGGAAACUGCUAGACUCGAGUGUGGUAGAGGUAGAGGGAAUUCCUAGUGUAGCGGUGAAAUGCGUAGAUAUUAGGAAGAACACCAAUGGCGAAGGCACUCUACUGGGCCAUAACUGACACUGAGAGACGACAGCUAGGGGAGCAAACGGGAUUAGAUACCCCGGUAGUCCUAGCCGUAAACGAUGGAUACUAGAUGUUGCACGUAUUAACCCGUGCAGUUAUCGUAGNUAGUACGUAGUAUCCGCCGUGGAGUACGCGUCGCGAGAGAGAAACGUUAAAGGUAAAGUUAGUACGGUUCGUUGUAGACGUUGCCGACGGACGACGACGAGGGAGGAGG
rnacentral:rRNA from 1 species